GGGGUUUUGCUUCUGGUUUGAAAAGAUGUAAGAGCCUUCCGUAAAGAUGACAAAUCUAGGCAAUUGCCAAUACAAAAAAAACGGGUCAAGGAAAUCUAAGUGAAUAGCGAAGGGUUUUGAAAAGCUGUGAAUGAACUGAACUUGAUACUAGAAAAAGCUGAACUCAACUACUGCAAACUGUCGGAUAGCUCUUGUUGUGGCAAUUCAAUAGAUAAAAACUAAGAACAAUAUGUUCUUUUGUUGUUGGAAGCUUCCCACAGGACUCGAUUUAGGUACUCUGGAUCAGAUUUGAACGUAAAGGACAUCGCUCGAGACUCCGGUAAUAGUCUGGCAGUUUAUCUACAAUAAUAAGUUUUGUUGUGCACCCACAGUCGAAGGCAAAUUUCUUCUGCAAGUAUUGCUGUGUAUCCACAGCCAAAGGCAUAUUCCAACAGCAGGUUUAUGCUGUAAAAUCUAUAGUCAAAAGCAUAUUUCAUCUGUAGGGCUUUUUGCUGUAAGCCCACAGCCAGAAGCAGAUUCUAACUGCAGGAACUUAUUGUGUGUCCACAUCCAAAUGAUAGUUAUUAUCUGCAAAUCAAUAGUGGUUUAUCCACAUCCCGGUGUAUCAGAGAAGGGAGUUUAGGGGAACUCCCAUUGUGGUGUGCAGUGGUGGGGUAGGAUCUUUUCUGUUAAACCAAAAUUGUAUGGCAUCUUCAAAAUCAUGUGCAUACAACUUUGGAAAUUCUGUUAUGUUAUAGUUAUGCAUGGAUAUCUAUGUAUAAUGUGGGAAAAUAUGGAAUUUGGUUAUUCUGUUAUCUGCUAUUGUGAGUUCCGAUAUUUGUUAAUGAUGGUUGCAUUGAAAAAUCGAUACUCUGAACUGUUGUUUAAUUAUGAUUAUAUUAUGCGAUAUUAUUUAAUGUGUCCUACAAGUUGUUUGCACUGAUUUUCUUACGAAUGGACUCACAUUGAACUUCAUAGCUCACCCUCAUUUUAUUUUCUUCCUUUUAGAUAACCCACCAGGUUAGGAUGUAAAUGCGACAUCCGGAGGGACUCAACUUAGUUUCGUUUUUCUUAAUAUUUUAGAGUUUCAUUAAUAUUCUUCAUUUUCUUUAAAAGAUUGUAUUAUUUAUUUUUGAACCGUAACAUGAGACUUAGGAGUUAGGUUUUGGGUUUA